UGUGGAUAAUGAUCUGUUAUCCACAUGAAACAGAAUCCAAAAUGUGAGAGGAAACGGAGACACAAGUAAACAAAAGCUGCGCACAAAUGAUGUUGUUUGGACUCUCCAAAAAUGUUGUCGGAUCAGAUACGCACCGAUAAGCAUUUUUGAAGAAUCCGAGAAACAUAGCUAUUGAACAGUUCUAUCACAUCAUGAUGCUAAACCAACCUCCAAUAACUGGUAAGCGUCCAUAGUUAUCCUAAUUUAAUACUUUGUUGUAAACAAUCGUUUGCAACCGGUUAAAAUAUAAGAUACUGUAAAAUAUUUAACAUCAUCAAGGCAUGUAAGUUUAAGACUGUGUUCGCUUUAUUCAGGAGAGAAGAGGCAGGGGUGGAUCCAUCAUUAUGGUUCAUCUGAACCCACUACUUUUGACACCCAGCAGACAAAGAGUUCACAUAUCAGCUUCUGAACAACUAAGCAACAACAGCAAAGGAAACUGCCA
rnacentral:lncRNA from 1 species